rnacentral:rRNA from 1 species
AUACGUAGGUGGCAAGCCUUGUCCGGAAUUAUUGGGCGUAAAGCGCGCGCAGGCGGUCCUUUAAGUCUGAUGUGAAAGCCCACGGCUCAACCGUGGAGGGUCAUUGGAAACUGGGGGACUUGAGUGCAGAAGAGGAAAGGGGAAUUCCAAGUGUAGCGGUGAAAUGCGUAGAGAUUUGGAGGAACACCAGUGGCGAAGGCGACUUUCUGGUCUGUAACUGACGCUGAGGCGCGAAAGCGUGGGGAGCAAACAGGAUUAGAUACCCUGGUAGUCCACGCCGUAAACGAUGAGUGCUAAGUGUUAGGGGGUUUCCGCCCCUUAGUGCUGCAGCUAACGCAUUAAGCACUCCGCCUGGGGAGUACGGUCGCAAGACUGAAACUCAAAUGAAUUGACGGGG